rnacentral:lncRNA from 1 species
AUUACCUUCUUGAGUUGUGGCUCAGACACUACAACAGAGCUCUGUCACCUCUUUCUAAAAGCUGGGAAAUGGUUAUUGUCAACGCCAGCCCCAUUUUGGAGGCACCUGGUUGCAGGGGACCACAGCUAGGGACAACAUGGUGAGGAGCAGCAAAGAAGAAACGAGAUACGUGUGGCUGCUUCAUUUACUCAUUCAUGAUUUUUGGUUAGCCUUUGAAAGUUUAUUUUUCAAUUUUAUUUAGUCUUUUUUUUGUAUUCAUAAAGGAAAAAAAAAGGGUCUUCAGUGCUUGUGUGAGCCUGGCACUUGGUUUUAUGCCCUUGGGCUGUAGAGGUCAGUUUCUCAAGUUCAACUGCUACAGUUCUUUUUGCCUUUUUUUUUUGAGCCAGGCAGGGUCUGCUCUGUCACCCAGGCUGGAGUACGGUGGUGCGAUCACAGCUCACUGCAGCCUCAACCUCCCGGACUCAAGUGAUCCUCCCACCUCAACCUCCCGAGUAUCUGGGACCAUAGGUGUGCACCACCACAUCCAGUUAAUUUUUUUAUUUCUGGUAGAGAUGGGAUCUUGCCAUGUUGUCCAGGCUGGUCUUGAACUCCUGGGCUCAAGCAAUUCUCCCACCUCGACUUCCCAAAGUGCUGGGUUUACAGGCGUGAGCCACUGUGUUUGGCCCAAGUGCUGCAGUUCUUACUCUCCAGCUCACAGAAGAGGCAACGAGGAGCCUGUUGAAAUGCAGAUUCUCUCCCAAGAGGCUCUGUGAAGUAGUCCUGGGUGGGGCCAGGAAUUUCCUAUUUUAAACCAGCUCCUCAUGUGAUUCUGAGCUAUCUGGCACGGGUCUCUGAGAACCUGUAAAUGGGGCUUAAAUUGCUCAAAGCCUAAAGACAAUGAAAAGUGGCAGAAUGUGAAGACCCGGUUUGUUGGUUUCACCCUGGAAUCUCAACUGAGUUCCCCCAGAAUGUCCCUGGACCCAUGACCCUCAGCUGAAAUGUCUUAGUUUAGAAUGUGACAUGUCUAAGUGGGAUGACAAUCAAAAUAGACCCAGCUGGGAAGUUGCCAGCAUCCUUGAAGGUUGUUAGAUGUGGCAAACACCUUCCUUCCUUCUUUAAGGGUGGUAAGAAAACAACAGCUCAGGAAGUCAUAAUAAUUCUAACAGCAGCAUCUACUUAGCACUGUCUAAGCACUUCAUGUUCAUUUACUCAUGUAAUCCUCCCCAAACCUAUAGGAUGCCUAUAGGUAAAAUCAUCCCCAUUUUACAGAUGAGGAAACUGAGGUUUAGAGAGGUGAAUGAUCUUGCCCAAGACUACAUGGCCAAUCAGUUAGCUUGCCUCCAAAGACCCUGGGCUUAACUGCUAUAUUAUCCAACCCCAAACUCUACCAGUGGCCACUGUGCAAAUUCUGGCUGUGUGGCUGCCUCCAGGGUUCAAGAAUAUUGACCAUUGCCUGGCAGCUUGCUGCUUGGGGGCCCCUGCUGAACAUUUUCUGGUGUGAAAUCAUUAUUUAACUUCAACCUUCUAAAACUGUGCCCUUCAUGGUCCCAGCUAGCACAAAGGUAAAAACACUUGAUAAAACGCAUAAAACACAGCCAGCAGCGUAUUUCCAAAUCACGUUGUAAGCCAGGCAGCGUUCUCUUGAAACAUACAUCCUUGGGGGCAAAGCAGUUAAGAGAGGUUCCACUGCAGUGUGUGGACUGGGGUGUUCACUGAACCAGACAAAGCUGGGGGUUUUGGGAUGCCAGAGGCCUGUAGUGGGAACAGCUAGGGGAGGACUGCAGCCAAUCUGGAUAGUGGCAACAGGACAGGGAAAUUGACUCUAGUUUUUGCUCAGUAGCAAAACUGUUUUGAAAGAGAAUCUCUCCUCUACCUCACCCCCAGGCAUGUUUUUUAAGUCUUUAAAAAAUACUGUUAAAGCAAACUAUAUAUGGAUAUGGCCUGAAAAGGACUCCCUACUUCUUCUUUUUUUUUUUUUUUUGAGAUGAAGUCUUGCUUUGUAGCCCAGGCUGGAGUGCAGUGGCACGAUCUUGGCUCACUGCAGCCUUCACCUCCUGGGUUCAAGAGAUUCUCCUGCCUCAGCCUCCUGAGUAGCUGGGAUUACAGGUGUCCACUACCAUGCUAAGCUAAUUUUUCGAAUUUUUAUAUUUUUAGUAGAGACAGGGUUUCACCAUGUUGGCCAGGCUGGUCACAAACUCCUGACUUCAAGUGAACUGCCCACCUUAGCCUCCCAAAGUGCUGGGAUUACAGGCAUGAGCCACCGUGCCCGGCCCCGGACUUCCUACUUCCAUAUUUGAGUCCUUGUGGACGAACUGCAACCUAACUUUGAAACAGAUUGAAACCCUAAUUUAGGAUUAUGACAAGAUUGAAAUCCUAAUUGAGGAGUAUGCAGCUGUAACAAUUGCCGAGUCUUGGCCAAUCCCAGCAGCCUUACUUCAACCGCUCAUACACUGCUGAGUGUUCACACUCUGUUCAAAUAAGGCAAACGCCGAGCUGUAACCGAUCCAGCUGUUUCAGAAUCUCACCUCCGAUUUCUGUACGUCACUUCCUUUUUUUUUUUUUUUUUUUUUUAUAAAUUUGUUCAGACCCGAGUCAUCCCUGGAGUCUCACACUUGAUCUUAGCCAAAAGGCCGAGAAGCGAUCAUCCCUGGAGUCUCUCUGAAUCUGCCGUGAUCCUGGGGGCUGCCCGAUUCGUGCAUUGUUCAUUGCUCAAUUAAACUCCUUUAAAUUUAAUUUGGCUGAAGUUUUUCUUUUAAUGAUACUAUGAUGUGUCAUUAUUAUUUCACUUUUCAAAUUAUUCAAAAUUAUUUUCAAUUUUAUGGUAUGGUACAUACCGUAAAAUUUCUGUACUCUUUUAAAGCUUACAUUUCAGUGGUUUUCAGUAUAUUCACAAGGUUGUGC